rnacentral:rRNA from 1 species
CCCAUGUACACACCGCCCGUCGCUACUACCGAUUGAAUGGCUCAGUGAGGCGUCCGGACUGGCCCAGAGAGGUGGGCAACUACCACUCAGGGCCGGAAAGCUCUCCAAACUCGGUCAUUUAGAGGAAGUAAAAGUCGUAACAAGGUCUCCGUUGGUGAACCAGCGGAGGGAUCAUUACCGAGUUUACAACUCCCAAACCCCUGUGAACAUACCUUAAUGUUGCCUCGGCGGAUCAGCCCGCGCCCCGUAAAACGGGACGGCCCGCCAGAGGACCCAAACUCUAAUGUUUCUUAUUGUAACUUCUGAGUAAAACAAACAAAUAAAUCAAAACUUUCAACAACGGAUCUCUUGGUUCUGGCAUCGAUGAAGAACGCAGCAAAAUGCGAUAAGUAAUGUGAAUUGCAGAAUUCAGUGAAUCAUCGAAUCUUUGAACGCACAUUGCGCCCGCUGGUAUUCCGGCGGGCAUGCCUGUUCGAGCGUCAUUUCAACCCUCAAGCCCCCGGGUUUGGUGUUGGGGAUCGGCUCUGCCCUUCUGGGCGGUGCCGCCCCCGAAAUACAUUGGCGGUCUCGCUGCAGCCUCCAUUGCGUAGUAGCUAACACCUCGCAACUGGAACGCGGCGCGGCCAUGCCGUAAAACCCCAACUUCUGAAUGUUGACCUCGGAUCAGGUAGGAAUACCCGCUGAACUUAAGCAUAUCAAUAAGCGGAGGAAAAGAAACCAACAGGGAUUGCCCUAGUAACGGCGAGUGAAGCGGCAACAGCUCAAAUUUGAAAUCUGGCUUUCGGGCCCGAGUUGUAAUUUGUAGAGGAUACUUUUGAUGCGGUGCCUUCCGAGUUCCCUGGAACGGGACGCCAUAGAGGGUGAGAGCCCCGUCUGGUGGAUGCCAAAUCUCGAGCGCUCCAA